rnacentral:rRNA from 1 species
ACGGAAGGCAGCAGUGGGGAAUAUUGCACAAUGGGGGAAACCCUGAUGCAGCGACGCCGCGUGAGUGAAGAAGUAUUUCGGUAUGUAAAGCUCUAUCAGCAGGAAAGAAAAUGACGGUACCUGACUAAGAAGCCCCGGCUAACUACGUGCCAGCAGCCGCGGUAAUACGUAGGGGGCAAGCGUUAUCCGGAUUUACUGGGUGUAAAAGGAGCGUAGACGGCUUUGCAAGUCUGAAGUGAAAGCCCGGGGCUCAACCCCGGAACUGCUUUGGAAACUGUAGAGCUAGAGUGCAGGAGAGGUAAGUGGAAUUCCUAGUGUAGCGGUGAAAUGCGUAGAUAUUAGGAGGAACACCAGUGGCGAAGGCGGCUUACUGGACUGUAACUGACGUUGAGGCUCGAAGGCGUGGGGAGCAAACAGGAUUAGAUACCCUGGUA